AUUGAACGCUGGCGGCAGGCCUAACACAUGCAAGUCGAGCGGAUGAAGGGAGCUUGCUCCUGGAUUCAGCGGCGGACGGGUGAGUAAUGCCUAGGAAUCUGCCUGGUAGUGGGGGAUAACGUCCGGAAACGGGCGCUAAUACCGCAUACGUCCUGAGGGAGAAAGUGGGGGAUCUUCGGACCUCACGCUAUCAGAUGAGCCUAGGUCGGAUUAGCUAGUUGGUGGGGUAAAGGCCUACCAAGGCGACGAUCCGUAACUGGUCUGAGAGGAUGAUCAGUCACACUGGAACUGAGACACGGACCAGACUCCUACGGGAGGCAGCAGGGGGGAAUAUUGGACAAUGGGCGAAAGCCUGAUCCAGCCAUGCCGCGUGUGUGAAGAAGGUCUUCGGAUUGUAAAGCACUUUAAGUUGGGAGGAAGGGCAGUAAGUUAAUACCUUGCUGUUUUGACGUUACCAACAGAAUAAGCACCGGCUAACUUCGUG
rnacentral:rRNA from 1 species